AAUCCUCAGUCAGUGUUUAUGUUCUGCUGCAGUGCAGCUAAAUAUCUUAUUAUUCCCUUCAUUUGACAGAUUUAGGGUGAUAAUGGAAAUGUUACUUUACGGAGUUCUGCUGAUGAUUAUUUCAAGUGUUAAUGGUCAGUCUUUGAGCUCCUCGGAUUCUGUGGUGAAAAGACCAGGAGAAUCAGUGACUCUGUCAUUCGGUGUCUCUGGAAUCUCAAUGGGCAGCUGGAUGACCUGGAUCCGUCAGAAACCAGGGAGAGGACUGGAGUGGAUUGGACGUAUAUCUGGCUCAAGUGUUUAUUAUGCUCAGUCUCUACAGGGCCAGUUCUCCAUUACCACAGACACCAGCAAAAACAUGCUGUAUUUAGAGGUGAAAAGCCUGAAGACUGAAGACACAGCUGUUUAUUACUGUGCAAGAGAUUCACAGUUAGACAAAAGUCUGCAGGGCUGAACAAAAACUGUCAUGAUCACUGAAGCAACUACUGCAAAUUUCCCC